ensembl:lncRNA ADGRB3-DT ADGRB3 divergent transcript
GCCAGAGGCUCGGCUCGCGCGGCGCGGCCGCUGCGACUUCCUGGAGUUCUGCCUGCCGGGGGCGCGGGCGGGUGUGUGAGAGAGAAGGCGAAGGGAGCCGCGGGGUGGGAGAGGAGGGAGUCCCGGCGGGAGGGCGGGGGAGAGGCUGGCGGGAGGGGGGCUCCACGGAGCUCCAGCCAGGGCCGCGGUUCGCCUGCACGUCACGGCUACUCAAACCCAAGCACGUCCCGAAAGCGGUAUUUUCUGCGUCUGGGAGGUUUUUGCAUCCUCAGUUCCCACCGCUGGGGCUGGCGGCGACCAACUGUAAGAGAAACUCACUGGGAGGCGAGGCAGGGGGGUGCGGAGGAUGGGAAGGCGACUCUGAAGGGUGGGAAGUGAAUGCUGGACUUGAUCGUCUUUCUCUUUCUUUCAGCGCAGACCUGUCGCAGCCAGAGAGCUGUCAUUUCAGUACCGGGAUUCAGAAUUGAUCCAGUCCGCAGCGGAGGGGGCACAUCCCAGCUACCGAGCUGCUGAGUGUCUCUGGCUGGAACAAUAGUAUUUUUUUCUCUGCGAGGCUGCAAUUAACAUCUUAUUUGUUCUGGCUCCAUACAGGCUUUGUCAGGAUCGCGGUGCGGCGACCGACGUUGGGCUCUUGCAUUGCUUUGUGCUUGGCAAUGGAAUCAUGGUUUCGGGGUCUAAACUUUUGUUUCGUUUUGUAGUCUUAAUGUAUCUGAUUCUUUUUCAAGUUUCCCUAGUAACAGGUUUGGGGACGGGGUGGGAAGAAGCGAGAAAAGGGGUGAAGAGAAAAAACCAGAUUAUAUAGAAAGGAAAAAGGGAAAAGGGAUGUUUCCCCACCUUUUAAUCUAACUAUCUAUCUGUCUGUCUAUCUAUCAUCAUAGAUAGUCAUUUUGCCUCCUGGACAGUUGGCUGACGAAGUGUCUGAUAAACCAGCUUCAGAUACAUGCUACAAAAGGCUACUGAGCUGGCCUGAUGAUGAUCCUUCUGAGAUAUAUUUAUAGCAGAUGAUUUGUGGAUGAUAACUACGCCAAGCAAGACACUGUCUCCAGUAACCCCAGGCUCGUCUGACUUCCUCAGGGGAUUAUAAUAAAGAAUCACAAAAAGAACCCUAUAUGGACAGUCUGGUCUCUGGACACUAACAACAGCACAAUCCAAAGGCAAAGAAAGGAGGAACCACCUUGUUUCAUGUCUGCAAGCUGCUCCAUAUGAAAGCAUUGCUGACAUGUUGACCCAACAGCAAAAAGAGAGCAGCAGUUUACACACCCUCAGCUCUCUGUCCUUUCCUUUCUAUUGAUGUUGGUCCACUUUUAUGACUGAAUACAUAUUAAAAUCACCAUUUCAAAUUAUAAUUAUCUGCUUUCAUUGGUCUCUUUCACAAGUCUAUGUCUAUAUUUAUGUUUACAUAUAUAAACACAUAUACACAUAUUUUAUACAUACAUAUGUAUAUGUAUGCACGCAUUAUUUGUAAGUACACAUACACGUGUGUGUAUAUAUAUGUAUAUGAUAUGUAUAUGUGUAUUUCAGUUGAUACACAUAUAUUUGCUUGGGAAGUUUCACUACAUUGCUUUGUAUUUCUCUUUUAUAAGGUAAUGCAUUUAAUUCCAAAACUACCACAUUAAUUGUAUAAAUUGAUUAUUACAUAAGUUUCCUUGAUGAUUUACAGAAGAACUAUUGAGAGGUCAGUGUUAGCACAUCAAAAUAUAGUCUGGUAUGGCAUUUUAAAUUGACCCAGGUAUCUAAUAUUAAAGCCUUUCAAAUUUAUCUCUCCUGCUAUUAUUUUAUUAAGAUUACUUUGGAAUGAUGAGGUUAUAAGUGUGAUUUAUUUCUGUUUCAUCUUUUUGUCUGUAUGUGCUAAGUUUAGUCCCUCCACUUUGAGAAUAACCCUAUAAUCCAGGAUCAUUGCUUAAAAUUCAGUAUCAUUUGCAGAAUUCUCAUACUCAAAUAAGAAUGUUUCUAGAAUAUGUUUACUCAAUUUUAGAAAGUAUUUUCUCUUUCCUUCUUUCUGUCAUAGUUUUUCUGAUAUUACUGUAUUACCACAUUCUAAACUCUGUGACUUGUUAUUUUCAGUAAGGCUUUAAGAAGCAUGGAUAGGUUUGUAGGUUAUUUCUUGUUAAAUAUGCCUUAAUUUUUUAGUAUUUAGUAUUAGUAUUUAGUUUUUAGUAUUUAGUAUUUAGUAUCUCCCAUAUAUAUAUAUGCACACAUAUAUAUAUACACAUAUAUAUGUACACACAUACAUAUAUACACACACAUAUAUAUACACACACAUACACAAAGCUUUGGAAUGUUAAUUAAAUGAUCAAAAUAUUACAAGAUUACAUUGUUAUGAGAACUUAUCCUUAAUAUUAGCAUAUUUACUAUAAAGUUAAACAACUUCUUCUCCUCUGUCUCCUGUUUAUUAUCAUUAUUUUAUUAUUAUUAAAAAAGGAAGUCUCUCAGAAACCAAGCUGUAUAUCCUCUAGUCUCUAUGUAAAAAAACAAAUUGGUCAUUUUCUACUUGGACAUCCCAGAAUAGAAAGUACAUUGAAGUACUAAAAAAUAAAGGGAUAGACUUGGGGUUAAGGGAGAUGUCAUAGAACAGCUAUCCUGGGUUAGUUCAAGUGUAGUCCUAUUCCAUGCUAGGCAAAGUCAAGGUUACAAAAAUCCCAGUUGCAUCAGGUUUCCAUUUUUUAUCAUUAUUUCCCUAUACAACGAUACAAGUUAAAAAAAAGUCGGUAAAUACUUUUGGCCAUCAAUUUUCAAGAUUUCAUUGGUGAUAUUAAGGAAAUGCUGUAAGUAGGUAACACAUAAUGUCAUAUUUGUGUGCUGUAGAAGUAUCUUGGAAAAUAUGGACUUUAAAACCUCAAAAUAUGGGUUUGCAAUCGAACAUACAUUCACCCCCAAAUUUGACCUUUUUCAGCUAGUUAUUUUCUCAUAUAAAGUUACUAUACUUACACCAUUAUCUUUAAUCCCUGAAAUUUCAAUUAUACUAGAAAUCAAGAUUCUUCAUUUUUACUCACGAAACUGACACUAAGUAUAUACCUCAUUAAGGACAAGAAGCUAUGAAUUCUCUGGACUUCAGUUAUCUCACAGAAAAGAGCUUGAUUGAAUAAUGUCUAAGGCUCUUCCUGACAUAGUCUAAAUAACAGAAGGUGUCUCACAAGAAAUGGAAGCAGUGAGAGAAAAAUGCAAUUAAAUCCUAGACUAGAAAGAAUCACAAUUUUCCCACUCACAGGUUGGAAAUGCCUCUCUAUUCUAUCACAAUUUUGAAAACCUCCAUAGUUUUACUAGCUUUGCCUUUCUCCCUUGCUAUCAUCUUCUGAGGUACAGACAGUCCUUUCCAUUUUUAUUCCUCUCCCACUCUGAUAAUUUUUUUCUUUGACAGAAGUCCCACUUUAUCAUUAAUGAUGACAAUAACUAAGGCUGCCAGGAACAGCACAUCUGCUGAGCUUUAUCAACACCAGAUUCUCUCAUUUUGCCUUCUGGAUCUCCAUGCUUUUUUAUACCAACAAACAAGAGGAAGAAUAUUCUCUACCCACUUCCUUGACUGAAGCCUGCUCUUUUAUGAAGACAUGGCAUCUCUUCCAACCGUGUCAAACAGAUGCAAUUUAUAUGUCUGCUGCUUCCAUACCCUGAUUAAAUGGGUCAGUGGCAGAAUCAAGCAUUUGUUUGCCAGUAAGCCAGGUGCCAUGUUGUCAUACAGCCCUAAAUAGAGAAGUCCAUGUGAGUUUGGCCUUCUGAGGCCUGUCAAAAGACACAUGAGUGAGCUCAGAAGUGGAAGCUUCCUCAUUCAAGUCUUGAGAGGACUGCAGCCCAGCCAACAUCCUGGUUGCCACUACAUGACAGGCUUGAGCCAGAAUCAAGCAGCUAAGCUGCUUCUGGAUUCCUGACCUACAGACACUAUAAAUCAGGAAUGUUUGGCUUCCAACUGCUAAAUUUGGGGAUAAUUUGUUAUGCAAAUAUAGGUAACUAAUGUAUAUCCCAUGGAUUCCACGCCCAUUGUUAUAAUAAUUUACUUACAACAGUCUUCAGCUAUUUAACAUUUUUCUGGCUGGAUCACCACGUUUACUGUGAUGAACAACUGCCCUUCCUGAUCCAGGACCCAUGCAGCAGAGCAUUACUGAAGAAAUUCACACCCUCAGGCAGUUAGAUGUCCCUGUAAAGUUAUAGUCACCAGGUUCUCAUGAUCUCACCACACAGACUGUUACUUAUAAGCUCCCUCUCUUAUUACACCCUAUGAAUAUUUUGUAACUUUUCUCUGAUUAUUAAAAAUGCUUCUCCUCAACUCUUGAAUGAUAAGUGAUAACCUUUUUUCAUUCAUUAUUUAUAAAACAGAUGUGAUUAGAUGGAAAAUAUCUUAUAUUCAUUAAAC